rnacentral:rRNA from 1 species
CCUACGGGAGGCAGCAGUCGAGAAUCAUUCACAAUGGGGGAAACCCUGAUGGUGCGACGCCGCGUGGGGGAAUGAAGGUCUUCGGAUUGUAAACCCCUGUCAUGUGGGAGCAAAUUAAAACGAUAGUACCACAAGAGGAAGAGACGGCUAACUCUGUGCCAGCAGCCGCGGUAAUACAGAGGUGUCAAGCGUUGUUCGGAAUCCCUGGGCGUAAGGCGUGCGUAGGCUGGUUCGUAAGUCGUGUGUGAAAGGCGCGGGCUCAACCCGCGGACGGCACAUGAUAUUGCGAGACUAGAGUAAUGGAGGGGGAACCGGAAUUCCCGGUGUAGCAGUGGAAUGCGUAGAUA